GAGCUGCAAGUGCCGCAGCCCAGGGCCGCCAGUUGGCUGAACUUAGGCUCCAUCAAGAAGUACUUGGGGAAGCUCUUCAACAGCAGGCCGAAGAAAUCUAAAAACCACAAGAAAACUGCGAACGCCACGGACACCUCCCCAUCAAAAGCCACGAAACCCCCACCAUGGACCACCACGAACCCCCAGUGGCUGAACACCUCGGAACCCCGACCACCGACCUCCUCCCGGGGCCCCAG
rnacentral:lncRNA from 1 species